AAUAGAUACCCCGGUAGUCCACGCCGUAAACGAUGAGUGCUAGGUGUUAGGGGGUUUCCGCCCCUUAGUGCUGCAGCUAACGCAUUAAGCACUCCGCCUGGGGAGUACGGUCGCAAGACUGAAACUCAAAGGAAUUGACGGGGGCCCGCACAAGCGGUGGAGCAUGUGGUUUAAUUCGAAGCAACGCGAAGAACCUUACCAGGUCUUGACAUCCCGCUGACCGCCAUGGAGACAUGGCCUUCCCUUCGGGGACAGCGGUGACAGGUGGUGCAUGGUUGUCGUCAGCUCGUGUCGUGAGAUGUUGGGUUAAGUCCCGCAACGAGCGCAACCCUUGUCCUUAGUUGCCAUCAUUCAGUUGGGCACUCUAAGGAGACUGCCGUACAAAUACGGAGGAAGGUGGGGAUGACGUCAAAUCAUCAUGCCCCUUAUGACCUGGGCUACACACGUGCUACAAUGGGUGGUACAAAGGGCAGCAAACCCGCGAGGGGGAGCGAAUCCCAAAAAGCCACUCUCAGUUCGGAUUGCAGGCUGCAACUCG
rnacentral:rRNA from 1 species